UACGUAGGGGGCAAGCGUUAUCCGGAUUUACUGGGUGUAAAGGGAGCGUAGACGGCUUUGCAAGCCAGAUGUGAAAGCCCGGGGCUCAACCCCGGGACUGCAUUUGGAACUGUGUGGCUAGAGUGUCGGAGAGGCAGGCGGAAUUCCUAGUGUAGCGGUGAAAUGCGUAGAUAUCACGCAGAACCCCGAUUGCGAAGGCAGCCUUCCGGCGCCCUACUGACGCUGAGGCACGAAAGUGCGGGGAUCGAACAGG
rnacentral:rRNA from 1 species